UAGAGAGAAGCUUGCUUCUCUUGAGAGCGGCGGACGGGUGAGUAAUGCCUAGGAAUCUGCCUGGUAGUGGGGGAUAACGUCCGGAAACGGACGCUAAUACCGCAUACGUCCUACGGGAGAAAGCAGGGGACCUUCGGGCCUUGCGCUAUCAGAUGAGCCUAGGUCGGAUUAGCUAGUUGGUGGGGUAAUGGCUCACCAAGGCGACGAUCCGUAACUGGUCUGAGAGGAUGAUCAGUCACACUGGAACUGAGACACGGUCCAGACUCCUACGGGAGGCAGCAGUGGGGAAUAUUGGACAAUGGGCGAAAGCCUGAUCCAGCCAUGCCGCGUGUGUGAAGAAGGUCUUCGGAUUGUAAAGCACUUUAAGUUGGGAGGAAGGGCAGUAAAUUAAUACUUUGCUGUUUUGACGUUACCGACAG
rnacentral:rRNA from 1 species